AUUGUUGUUAUAUGGUUGCACAUUGCGAACAUGCUGUCACUACAUAGCAAUGUACUGCAUAUAUCACAAUCACAGACACUGUUUGAGAGUUUCACUGGUUAGUAACAUUAUCUGUCUUUGUGAGUAAACUGAUGUUUUCUCUGAACAAACAGGAGAGUCUGUUCCCAUCGGCAUCAUUGUCGGUGCUCUUGCUGCUGUUGUUCUGCUGGUGGUCAUUGCUGUCGCUGGAUAUAUGGUGUAUCAGAAGAAAAAAGGCUUUAAACCUGUCAGCGGCUCUGAUGACGGCUCAAACAGCUCGGCUCAUGCAGUUCCACAAGCAUAAAGAUGUAGGAGACCAGACAUAUGAGAGAUGAAGAGAGAUGAAACUUUUCCUGCUGGCUUAGAAAACUGCACAUAAACACACACAUUCUCUCUCUC